GAUGAACGCUGGCGGCGUGCUUAACACAUGCAAGUCGAACGGAAAGGCCCUUGCUUGCAGGGGUACUCGAGUGGCGAACGGGUGAGUAACACGUGGGUGAUCUGCCCUGCACUUCGGGAUAAGCCUGGGAAACUGGGUCUAAUACCGGAUAGGACCAUCGUUUAGUGUCGGUGGUGGAAAGUUUUUUCGGUGUGGGAUGAGCUCGCGGCCUAUCAGCUUGUUGGUGGGGUAAUGGCCUACCAAGGCGUCGACGGGUAGCCGGCCUGAGAGGGUGUACGGCCACAUUGGGACUGAGAUACGGCCCAGACUCCUACGGGGGGCAGCAGUGGGGAAUAUUGCACAAUGGGCGCAAGCCUGAUGCAGCGACGCCGCGUGGGGGAUGACGGCCUUCGGGUUGUAAACUCCUUUCGUCAGGGACGAAGCGAAAGUGACGGUACCUGGAUAAGAAGCACCGGCUAACUACGUG
rnacentral:rRNA from 1 species